ensembl:lncRNA
GGUCCUUUUCAACCCAGGCCAUUCUGAUUCUAUGAUUCUAUGAUUACAAUUAGUACAAACACAUUUUCUGUACCUACAAGUCUCAGUAUGAACGUUUAUACCAAUGUACCAUAGCUUUGUAUCUUGUACAGAAAUACAACAAACUACGAUUUUUGAAACAGUAUAGGAACAGGAAAGCAGGCAGCUGAAAAAGAGGUUGAUCUACUGUCUGAUUUAUAGCUACUGCUUCUGUGCAGUUAGAAUUAGAUAUGUAGAGAUACAUAGCGAGAUUUUAACAUCUUUAUGCACAAGCAAGCAGCUUUAUGAAUCCUGGAUCCUACUGCAUUACAAACGCUACCAGCUCUGCUCUCUGCUUGCUCUGGACAAACACGUUUCACUGCUGGGUGGUUCAGAGAGGGGUUACGGCAAAGGUUACUUCUGCCACUGGAAUUCCUGGGAGGAGAGCUAUACCCAGGGUGCCCUACAGCGCCGUAUCCAAUUGCUCAGCUUAAACAACUGCUGUAGAUGAACCAGUGUGAGGAGGUGGAGCCAGCGUUAGGAAGGCACGCUGCUUCAGUUACAGCAAAAUGUGCCGUAACUGCAUCAGUAGUCAAGGGAAGAGCCACCGAUGUCAUCUAUCUGGACUUCAGUAAGACCUUUGACACAGUCCCCCAUAACAUCCUUCUCUCCAAAUUGGAAGGAUAUGGAUUUGACAAGUGGACUGUUCAGUGGAUGAAAAACUGGUUACAAGAUUGUACCCAGAGAGUUGUGUUCAGUGGUUCGAUGUCUGGAUGGAGACCAGUGGCAAGUGGUGUCCCUCAGGAGUCAGUACUGGGACUAGUGCUCUUUAACAUCUUCAUCAAUGGCAUCAACAGUGGGAUCGAGUGUACUCUCAGCAAGGCUAUAGAUGAUACCAAGCUGUGUGAUGCAGUUGACACAUUCAAGGAACAGGAUGCCAGCCGGAGAAACCUAUGUAAGCCCAAGCAGUGGGCCCAGGUGAACCUCAUGAGGUUCAAUAAAUUGAAGUGCAAGGUCUUGCACCUGCAUUAUGGCAAAUCCUACUAUGGGAACAAGCUGGGGGAUAUAAGGAUGGUGCACAACUCUGCCAAAAAGGACUUGAGGUGGAUGGCAAGCUGGACAUAAGCCAGCAAUGUACCCUUGCAGCGCAGAAAGCCAACCAUAUCCUGAGCUGCAUGUACAAUAAACAAAUGUACAGUUGGAAGAAUAGCACAGUUAGGAUGGUACUUCACAGGUGUAUAGUUGGAAAGAUUAUCAUGGUGGAAAAGAGACAGUCAAAGAAGAAACGCUCACCCAUAUCCAAGAAUCCAG